GGGUGCGGCGGGCCCCUGAGGUGGGAGUCGUCUUCCCUCUUUUGCGAGUACAGACGCAGGAGCAAAGUUGUUCAAGGUUGUGGGCUGGAGGAGGCGUGUGGCUGACACAGGAACAGGAGCUUUUUGUACAUGCUUCGUCUUGGGAAAGCAGGCAUCUGGAACUUCACACGUACGGAGCCUCUUCGUGUUAUCCCCCAUUUAACUGGGCUGAAUGAGAUACAGCCGUUUUAAAAAUUUAAUCCAGGGGGACUUUUUGGAGAAUGAACUCGAAUGAGCAAAGCAGUAUGCUGCAGUAUCUAUGGGACAGUAUGCCAGCUUCCUUUUUCUGGAAAUUAAG